AUUGAACGCUGGCGGCGUGCCUAACACAUGCAAGUCGAGCGGUAACAGGUGUAGCAAUACAUGCUGACGAGCGGCGAACGGGUGAGUAAUGCUUCGGAAUCUACCUUAUGGUGGGGAAUAACUAGCCGAAAGGUUAGCUAAUACCGCAUACGUCCUACGGGAGAAAGCAGGGGAUCGCAAGACCUUGCGCCAAAAGAUGAGCCGAAGUCGGAUUAGCUAGUUGGUAGGGUAACGGCCUACCAAGGCGACGAUCCGUAGCUGGGCUGAGAGGACGACCAGCCACACGGGGACUAAGACGCGGCCCAGACUCCUACGGGAGGCAGCAGUGGGGAAUAUUGGACAAUGGGGGAAACCCUGAUCCAGCGACGCCGCGUGUGUGAAGAAGGCCUGCGGGUUGUAAAGCACUUUUAGUGGGGAUGAAAUGUGCAGGGUUAAUACCUCUGCAUUUUGACCUAACCCACAGAAAAAGCACCGGCUAACUCUGUGCCAGCCGCCGCCGUAA
rnacentral:rRNA from 1 species